CAGCCGCCACGGUAAUGCGUAGGGUGCGAGCGUUAAUCGGAAUUACUGGGCGUAAAGCGUGCGCAGGCGGUUGUGUAAGACAGGUGUGAAAUCCCCGGGCUUAACCUGGGAACUGCGCUUGUGACUGCACAGCUAGAGUAUGGCAGAGGGGGGUGGAAUUCCACGUGUAGCAGUGAAAUGCGUAGAGAUGUGAAGGAACACCGAUGGCGAAGGCAGCCCCCUGGGCCAAUACUGACGCUCAUGCACGAAAGCGUGGGGAGCAAACGGGAUUAGAUACCCCCGUAGUCCCUGUCUCUUAUAC
rnacentral:rRNA from 1 species